GUCAAGAAAACACUCACCACGAUAUUACCCAGGUACAUCUGAUCACCAUUGAAUAUUGGACUCAUAGGUAAUACUGUUGGUGCGGCAAACUUUGUGGGCCUCAACAAGUUUUCAGUGGUGGAGUUUAAUCAUCACUGCUUUUUAUGGCAUGGUCCACUUGAGCUUUGGAUCUCCCUCAUUUUUAGCCUCAUGCCUUAAAAAUGUUAUGAAAAAAUUAGAUGGAUGGUGUGGAUAUGAAACAUACAUCAUGGUGAGGACCAUGUAGCUUUGUCACGUCAACAUAAAUAUGAUAUUUUUCGUUUAAAUGAAAUAGUGUGACCAAGAGAGCCAACAGGAGUCUGAUCUCAUUAAUUUCUAUUGGAACACAUGCAUUAGGAAGAUGACGGGCACUAGGGUGACUCUGCGUUGUGGGGAGCUAUAUAACGAAAUGCUACAAAUUCAUACUCAAUCUCAAUCGGAGGACAUUGUACCGUUGAUAGCAAACGAAGCAUGUUUUAGGGCCCUUGGCUCUAGAUCUAGAUACGUCUGUAGUCUCAAGCACGGGGAGGUGCCUUCAUCGACCCAUCGUAUCCGUGCUAAUGUGGAUGAGGCUACGAGGAGGGCCGAGCAGGAAGAGGUAACAUUAGCUGAGCUUAGAACUAAGGUGUAAGUCAUGGAAGGGAUGAUAAAUGAUAUGCAGACACGACGGGCUCAGUUAAAGGAGAUAAUUUUCCUACAGACUAAUGCUAUCUUCCUAAGCCCCGCCGCAUUAUCAAGGACGCACAUUUUUUAUUGAUUUUUAUUAGACAAGUUGGACAUGUGUACUUUUUUUAUGUUAUGGAUAAUUAUAAAUUUAGUUUUAAUUUAAUUAAAUUAUUUUUAUAUUUCAA